rnacentral:lncRNA from 1 species
GAACAAUAUAUCAUAACACAUAGUACUGUCUAUUACAGUCAGCACAUAGUCUAAUCACGUCAUCACAUAAUCGCAGUGAUCAUACUUUUGGUUCAUAUUCUACACUUGAAAUAUUUUUAUACAUUUUUCAAAUAUCUCAUCCAUGUUCUUACAUUAGCCUUUUCUUUCUUUGAUAAGGUCUGACAUUUGUCGGCGUGCCGACAGCUUUAUCGGGUAAUUACUGAGUCUAAGACUCUUAUUCUGUAUCUCAACAUCAGUCAUUUUAUUUUUAAAUGACUUAAAAUAAUUUUAAAGCAUUUAUAAUAAUUUAUCAUGCAUUUUUAGACAUCGGAAUCAUAAUUAAAUGAUUUAAACAUCAAACAAUUCUAUUAUCAUUAAUAAUUAAUUAAUAUUAAACUAUUAAUGAAGCCAUUGCCAAAAUAUAAAAGUUAUU